UUAAGAUUCUUUCUUGGAUCCUGUGAGAAACAUUGUCACUAUUCUUACACAUGUAUGUGUAUCAAUUUGUUAGCCAAAGAUAAAGGAAACAAGGGAAUGAUGAAAAGUGGUAGCAAAAGAAAAGGAGAAAAGAAUUCAAAGAAAUUGUAAGUAUGAAUGGGGAUAUCAGACAAAAGUAGAAUACACUAAACUGAGGUAAGAGAAAGGAAACUAGAUAGAGAAAGUGAGGUGAUGUUAGGAGCUUCAAAUAAAGGGAUCGUAGAGGGAUGAGGGUACACAAAUGGAGGUAUAUAGAAGAUGAAGUGAAAGAGGUAGUUGUUAGUCUCUCUCUCUCUCUCUCUCUCUCUCUCUCUCUCUCUCAUGUCUACCACCAACAAAACCCACUGAAGCAAAUUAUCAUCAUGAAACUCUCUUUGCACCCUGCACUCCAAAAAAAGUGAUUGUCUUCCUCAUCAAAACCUUCUUUACCUUAAAUUUACUUCUCUCAAUACCCUCCUCUUCUCAUCCCAAACCCCCAGCACCCCAAAACCAUGAAACCUUUUCUUUUCUUUCUCACAUUCACCUUCUUUUUCUGCCAAACACACCUAAUGAUUUUCACAGCUCAUCUUUCAUAUAUUAUCUGGCUCUUUUUUUUUAUCUUGAAUCACUAUUAAUGUAACUCUUUUUUAUUCAGACUUGAAUAGACCUUCCUCUUGCAUAGGCAUAUUACAGAUUGCAUUUCAAAUAAUGGACCAAACAUAUGAGGAAAAUGUUGAAAGGGGAGUUUCUGGCAAAAAAUUGGACAUGUUUCUGUUUGAUUGCUAACUGAUCAGGGUAAUUAGAUUUGGAUGCUACAAUUCUUUAACUGGAGCAGUUAGUGGUAACACAAUGGGGAAGGUGCAGUAAGAAGUGAUUCCUAGUUUGGAAUAGGUAGAGAUUACAGAUGAAGGUUUCAAAGCCUGUUAUCAUUCAGUACUUACGAGGGAAGAGGUGGUAGAAGAAGCCACAACUAAUCGGUGUUUUGAAGCUGAACCGUUCGAUUAGAAGAAAAAAUCUUUUAAAAGAGAGCUACGUUUUCAGAAGGAGAAAACUCUUUUAGAACUAUGGAUAAGCUGCUGGAACAGAAGGAGGAUGAUCUUGAAAGUUAUGGCCUGGAGCAGGAGAAGCUUCUCUUUGAGAUGUACUGAUUAGAGAAAAUCCUUUUAGCUUAUUGGCUUUAUGGACCUCAUAAGAAACGAGGUGAAGCAGGUUACUAUAGAGACAACUCACUUCAAUUAGAAGGAGGAUAAAGCUAAUUAAACUGUUUAAGGAAGAAAAAUCUAUAGAGGUUGUGUCAGCUGCAAGUGCAAAAGGCCAGAAUAUGGGAUAGACAUCAAGACAUAAAUAUUGGCAUUGAUGUUAUAUAUGUUGCACCAAACAUAACAUGAUUUCAAGAAGAGCUAGUAGUGGGGAGCCAGACGAUUGGCAAUAUUUGAGAGUAUGUCAAAUUUAGUUUAUGUUUUUUAGUGAUAUCAUUUAGCGUCUCCAAGAGCAGUUAUCAGAGUUGUUUUAUGGCUACAUGGACAGAAUCUAACCAUACCAUGUUUGUUAUACUUAAUUUAGGAAAAGGGACCAGUUUUGCAGAACAAAAACAUAAGACACAAUUCCAUGAACUUAUCAGCAUGAUUUUGUCAUUUUACUCACUCACCCCACAUGCCAAGAAUAUAAGGUUGUUUUUCAGUUUGGGUUCAAAUCAUAAGGAUCUUAAAUAUCAUCACAUAAAGUUCCUUCAGGUGAUGCCCUGUACUUGAAUAGUUUAGGUUUCUUCCAUAUUUUUAACCUUCUCAUUUUGAAGAAACCAAACAUGUUAGUUGCUGUGAAUCUUCUUUCUAUCUCUUUCAUUUUUUCCUCCUUACUCCCUUUAUAAAUCCUCUCAGUUCUCAUCUGUACUUUUGGUUUAUGGUACUUGAAAUACAUAUGUGAAACCUACUGUGCAUUGGGUUUGUUAUGAUUUCUCCUCUCUUACAUUCAGCAUAAUCAGGAGUUGAUUAGAGCUGAUUAUUUAAAUGGUAUCGCAGUAGUCAUUGACAAAGGAGAGACAUAUCUCUCUUCUGUUGAAAAGCGAGUUAUUUUUCCCCCAUCUUUUAUUGGGGGACGUCGCUAUAUGUUUAAUAAUUGUCAUGAUGCGAUGGCUAUCUGCAAGAAAUUUGGGUACCCCGACAUCUUCAUUACAGUUACUUGCAAUUCAGCUUGGGGUGAAAUUCAAAGGUUUGUGCAACCUAGGAAUCUAAAGGCAGAAGACUGUCCACAAUUUGCGUUCGUGUUUUCAAAGUAUGAUAUAUAUCACAAAUUAUGUAGGUACCUUGCAAUAUUGGCUCAACCUUGGAUGACUUGGUAUAAACACAAUGAUGUCAUACUUUAUGAUUUACCUUUCACAAUUCUGAUUUGUGCUACUAUCACAUUCAUUUUUUUAGGAUUAAUAUGUUGAUAAUUCCUUAUAUCUAGGAUUUGUGCUAUUGUCUUCAUGUUCAUGAAGAAUGUGAAACGAGGUCCUGUUGAUCUCAAUCAGGCUUAGAAGACAAGUCUUUUUAUCCUCUUUGCUUAACAUUUCAAACUCUUCUAUUUCACAUGUUGUUUAAUAUAUUUUUAAUAAUCAAGGUAUUGAUUGAUAUAUCAAAUACAAUACACAUAUUUCGUUGCACGGGUAAAAAAACACUAGUAUAUUAGAAAAGAAGAACUUCCAUCAGGCCAAUUUGAUGAGGUGUCACUCCCAGAUUAAUUCU